rfam:Salmo salar isolate Sally breed double haploid chromosome ssa27, whole genome shotgun sequence.
UGGCUCAGUUGGUAGAGCAUGGUGUUUGCAAUGCCAGGGUUGUGGGUUCGAUUCCCAC